CCUACGGGUGGCAGCAGUAGGGAAUCUUCCACAAUGGGCGAAAGCCUGAUGGAGCAACGCCGCGUGCGUGAAGAAGGUCUUCGGAUCGUAAAACCCUGUUGUUAGAGAAGAAAGUGCGUGAUAGUAACUGUUCACGUUUCGACGGUAUCUAAUCAGAAAGCCACGGCUAACUACGUGCCAGCAGCCGCGGUAAUACGUAGGUCGCAAGCGUUAUCCGGAUUUAUUGGGCGGAAAGGGAACGUAGGUGGUCUUUUAAGUCUGAUGUGAAAGCCUUCGGCUUAACCGGAGUAGUGCAUUGGAAACUGGGAGACUUGAGUGAGGAAGAGGAAAGUGGAACUCCAUGUGUAGCGGUGAAAUGCGUAGAUAUAUGGAAGAACACCAGAGGCGAAGGCAGCUCUCUGGUCUGUAACUGACGCUGAGGGACGAAAGCGUGGGUAGCAAACAGGAUUAGAUACCCCUGUAGUC
rnacentral:rRNA from 1 species